rnacentral:rRNA from 1 species
UACGUAGGUCCCGAGCGUUGUCCGGAUUUAUUGGGCGUAAGGCGAGCGCAGGUGGUUUAUUAAGUCUGGUGUAAAAGGCAGUGGCUCAACCAUUGUAUGCAUUGGAAACUGGUAAACUUGAGUGCAGGAGAGGAGAGUGGAAUUCCAUGUGUAGCGGUGAAAUGCGUAGAUAUAUGGAGGAACACCGGUGGCGAAAGCGGCUCUCUGGCCUGCAACUGACACUGAGGCUCGAAAGCGUGGGGAGCAAACAGG